rnacentral:lncRNA from 10 species
CAAGGGCAAGCAGAAGGAAAUCAGUUUCUCCAAAGAAAGUGGCCCGGCUGAGUAAGUGGGAACAAGGUGGUUGGACUGAGGCACGGGAUCCUUUAGCUCCGUUGCUCUUCUAAUCCCGUGGCCCUGGGCACCGCCACUUCCUCCUCUGAACUGCUGGAAUAAUCACUUCUGACUAGCAGAGUUACUGGGAGCCGCUGUUUGUCAGUGUUCACAUUCUGACUUUAGCAGGAGAUGGAGCGAGCGAAGGAGUGAAGCCCUUGUUUGUGAACAGUGAUUGUUUCCCGGAUGACAGCCAGAUGCCGGGCAGGGCCACGCAGAUCUUAGCUGGAGCCUACAGGUACAAGUGAGAGCCACCCCCUUUGACGUAACUGGACUGGCAUUUACAGAACUCAUGUACAGCCCACUCUCAGGAACACCAGCCAGGAACCGUGACAUGGAGGAGAGGAAUUGGGAGGAACCGAGGGGUCAUCAAAGGCUGGUAGGGCUUAGGUGCUCUAGCAAACAUCCUAGUCUGUGGGGUUCCAGAGCUCUGGUGCUACAGCUCCCAACCCUUUGAUUGGCCCAGGAACUGGCUGUUGAGUGGGCAUCCGUGUUCAUAGCUCUGCCCCUUGCAACCCUAAAGCAGAUAAAAUGCAGGAGGCAGAAAUUGCUGGCAGACAGCAUCCAAUUAAUCCCCACUACCCAAUUCAGUUUCUUCCCCUGACCUGACACGUCCCUGCCCAGCUGUGCCUCCCACUGUUCACCUUUUGAGGCACAAAACGGGCUGUUUAUGCUGCUGCUGCAUUUAGCUCAAAACAGGGCUUCAGAGUCAAGGUUCUGGACUCAGGCACCCGGAUUAAAUCCUGCCCUAUGAAUUCCUAGCCAGGUGACCUCAGGCCUACAUAACCUUUCUGUACCUCAACUUCCUCAUCCAGAAAACAGGGAUGAUGCUGUCUACCUCAUUGGAUGGUUGUGCAGGAUCAAAGAUUCAGUCAUUCAGCAAACCUAUACCGAGUACCUACUGUACACUCAUGAGUGCUAGGCAGCCAGCCUUCCAGGUGCUCAGCUCCAGGACUCUACCUCUCAUCAAGGCU